UGGACAUCUGUGGAUUAGGUGAAGGAGGGGUUGAGGUCAGGAGGUGAGGACAGCGAUGUGUUGAUACAGGGGAGACAGAUGGACAUCUGUGGAUUAGGUGAAGGAGGGGUUGAGGUCAGGAGGUGAGGACAGCGAUGUGUUGAUACAGGGGAGACAGAUGGACAUCUGUGGAUUAGGUGAAGGAGGGGUUGAGGUCAGGAGGUGAGGACAGCGAUGUGUUGAUACAGGGGAGACAGAUGGACAUCUGUG